rnacentral:lncRNA from 1 species
CCUCACUCUGUGGUUAGCCUGAGUUAUGUUCUUGGGAUAACUCUUAUAAUUUCCAAUGUCUUAGGUUUACAGAGGACUUUCUGAGAAUCUAUAGUUUUAAAGCUCUCAUUGGUAUAAAGACAUAGAUGAUGACGAGUGAAAAAUCUUUGUCAGAGAACAGAUGAAAUUCAUGAAUCCAAGGCCUUAUUUCUUGAAGAUGAAGUCCCCAGGUUUUCAAGCAUGUGGAGGCUACCUGGAAGUAUCCUGAGGAAAGGCAGGUAUCUUUACCAAAAUGCUCUCUUCCUUGGUAUAUAAUGUCUAGAUGGAAGCAGGUACCUGUUUUGUAUAUAAGGUCAUCAACAUCGAUUUUUCCUGGGUCUUAUGCUCUUUUUAUUCUAAGGCUCUCAAACUACUCGGAAAAUAAUUGGAGAUUUGGCAGGAGGAUUAUUUCCCAUUCCAGGUUUUGGACUCAACUAGCCUUUGCCUGUGGGCAGUGGCUCACACCUGUAAUCCCAGCACUUUGGGAGGCUGAGGUGGGCGGAUCAUGAGGUCAGGAGAUCGAGACCAUCCUGGCUAACACGGUGAAACCCCAUCUCUACUAAAAAUACAAAAAAUUAGCCGGGCACGGUGGCACACUGCUGUAAUCCCAGCUACUUGGGAGGCUGAGGCAGGACAAUGGCUUGAACCCGGGAGGCGGAGGUUGCAGUGAGCCGAGAUUGCGCCGCCGUACUCCAGCCUGGUGACAGAGCAAGACUCCAUCAAAACAAAAAAAAUGUUUUAAAGAGCUUGUUCUAUUUUAAUUAUGGUUUAACUUUAGCAGGUCAUUAAGCAUUGGGAAUUGGGAAUUUCUGGGUGGUCAGCAGGGUUAGUCAGAUGGAAGAGUAGAAGCAGAGAGUGAUGGAAAUAUAAAAGCCAUUAUGUCCAAUUUAUUGUUUGGGUAUCUAAAAGAGAGGUAGAUUUAAGUUUUGCACAUUUUUAAAAAUUUGCCUUGCUGACAUAAUUUAAAAAAAAACAAAAAACUGUAAUCUGAGUUUGUUUUGAAGCAUUCUCAUUUACAUCAAAAUGCAGACCAAUGGAUGUUUGAGAUUUUGCCGUUUUUCAUUUCAAGGUGUAUUUCAAAAUAAUAAUUUUGUAUAAGUUAAUUAUUGGUGAGCACAAUAAGAAAAUGGCUUAGUGAGCAAUCUAUUUUUUGACAAGUGUGUGAUUGAUAUGGUUUGGCUGUGUCCCCACCCAAAUCUAAUCUUGAAUUAUGGCUGCCAUAAUCCCUACGUGUUGUGGGAGCUACUUGGUGGGAGGCACUUUAAUCACGGAGGCAGUUUUCCCCACAUUCUUGUUCUUGCGAUAAUGAGGGAGUUCUCAUGAGAUCUGAUGGUAUUAUAAGUGGAUUUUUCCCCUUUUUCUCGGCAUUUCUCUUUGCUGCUGCCAUGUGAAGAAGAAUGUGUUUGCUUCCCCUUCCUCCAUGAUUGUAAAUUUCCUGAGGCCUUCCUAGCCAUGCGGAACUGUGAGUCAGUUAAGCCUCUCUCCUUUAUAAAUUACCCAGUUUCGAGCAGUCCUUUUUAGCAGCAUGAGAAUGUACAAUUUUUUUCCUUUUUCUUUUUUUAGUGUACAGUUUAUUGCCCCAUAAGGUAACGAUUGCCCAGAAGAACAAACUGCCUGAACAAACUGUUUUUUAAGAAUUUUCCAGAGCAAAUUUUAAGAUUAUUUAGUGAUUUAUGAACUUAUUUUCUGGAUAAGUAUUUUCUGAAAUAAACACCUACAACUUACAAUUAUGAAGAUUGUUUAAAUUUUAAGUCCCAAUAGUUGAAUUAUAUUCAUGGUCUUAAUUCCACAGAAAAGUCAACUUUUUGAUAAUGAAAGUAGGUUAUUUGUAUCAUUUGUGUCAUUUGGUCUUAAACUUACUUACAAAUCAAAGGUUGACUUUGCAUACUAUGUGGCCGAGACCUUUUCCAGGUCUAGGAAACACAUAAAUACUGUGUAGUAAAGAAUGUAGCCAUUCCCAAAGAGAAGUCUGGCCUUUGCGCUCAGCUCCUGGGAGAAAUCACUAAUGCCUUUGAAAGUCCUGCUUAAUAAACUGUUUGUUUGCUUGGGGCCUUGGGCAUGCCAGGUAAUCUAACAAUAUGAUAUAUGGUAGAGACUUUGGGUCAUACGGCAUCAGCUGGACCACUGGAGGGCCUGGAGAGUGAGGUUGGCCAUGUAGUGACAGAGCCCGAUAAAGACUCUGGGCAUCAUGUUUUGAGUGUGCUUUCAUGGUUGCUACAGCUACACAUAUAUCAUGACAUAUAAUUGCUUGAUGAAGUUAAUUCCAUGUGUUCUUUCCAUGGGGAAAGUACCACUGGAAAAUCUAUGUUUGGAACCUUCUGAAUUCUGCCCAUGUGAUUCUUCCUUUGGAUGACUUUAAUCUGUGUCUUUUCACUAUAAUAAAACAUAAUCAUGAGUAUGACAGUUUUCAGUGAGUUCUGUGAAUUCUUCCAGUGAAUUAUUGAACUUAAAAAUGGUGUUAAAAAUCCCCAAAUCUGUAGCUGGUGUCAGAAGUGAGGAUGAUCUUGUG